GAGGAAAUUCCUUCAAGAGGUCAACGUCAAUGUAUCCUGCUGUUGCUUUCAGCUCCAUCUCCUCUAUGAAAAGUGUAUUCUUUUGGAAAUGAAGGAAACAGAGAGCCUGGAUUAUCUUUCUUGGCCAGGUCAUCUUCAAAGUAGAUCUCGGAUAUCCUUGGGAAUACCACAUGAGGACACCAGUAUUCUCCAAGUGCUUUGAUUUUUCAUCAAGAUUGCAGUAGGAAUUCUAUGGUGGCUCAUAUUCUCUGUAUCAGUUACCAGUAUUCGGAAGCCUCUGAGUUUUCUUGCUAUUAGAAAAGGUCAUCCUGCCUACGAAGUUGUUACUCCUGAUUAUGCUGUUUCAAGUUGGGGGUUUUGCUGGAAAAAAACACAGGAAAUGUCUUUGUUACUUCCUCAGGCUCCAAAAGCUCUUCCUUUCUUUCAUCUGCUAUACAUUUUCAUGUUUUUGUUUUAUUCACUGCUCCAAGUGCUUUUAGUUCCAGCUAGUUUUUUUUUUGGAUUUGGAGCCCCUGUAAUAGAUAUGGUGGGUGUGCCUUUGGAUGUACAGUGAGCAACUCCUGAUGCACAGACUCUUACUGGGAAUGAAGCCCCUCGGAGUCAUCCUCACAAUGCCUCAGGUGGAGCACUAGGAGAGCAUAGCCACAAACAAGCCUGACCACUUGGCCCAGAUGAGCAGGGUUUCUUAGUUUCUUGUUUUUCAUGUUGGUUUUUUCUCUCUGGAUGACAUUGCCAAUCCAUUAAAUAUACUCAGUAAAGCAGAAGGGAAACACAGGGAGAGGAUGUAAGUCAAAAAUUGUACCCAUGGCAAUUUCUGGAUAAUUUUUGCAUGCUGAGCAUAAAUAGUAAACAGAUAACUGAUGCACUUGCUGUGCAGCUGUCACCUUGUCUGGGAAUAUAUGUAGGAUCAAAGACCAGUAAAUGCCCUGACACCUCUUAAGAGGCAUAUUUGGUGUAGAAGGAUUUAGCAAUUCAAAAGCUAAACUGGGAUCUACGAAAGGUCAUUGUCUGGUCAGCCAGUUUAUUUUUGACCUAAGCUGUCUUUAAUUCAAGAAACAGAAGGACUGGGAUAAGCAAGUACAAACCUAAAUGGGCAACUGGCUGCUGGGUGAUGUUGAAGCUGAGUCACCCUAAAGGCCAGCCCACUUGUACCCUCAAUCAAGAGAGGAGAAGGUAAAGACAAGAAUGAUAGAAAGCAUAUCCUCCCUGCCCAUAUGAUGCUUUGGUAUCAGUGAAAUCAAGCCAUUUCUGUUACAAUGUCAAAGAAAGAAAAAGGAAAGGCAAAUAGAGAAAUAUGUAAAUUUUAAAUAAAAUCUGCCUAUGUACACUUGCAAAUUAUCUGAAACCCUUGGUUUGUCCAAGUAAAAGCCAUAUUUUAAAGGUGGUAAUCUGGUUUUUGUAAUAUUUCUUUAUUCCAGUGUGUAUUACAAAUUUAUGCAGUAUGAAUAAAUCCUAAGCUUU